rnacentral:rRNA from 1 species
UACGGAAGGGGCGAGCGUUGUUCGGAAUUACUGGGCGUAAAGGGCGCGUAGGCGGCCUUCUAAGUCGAACGUGAAAUCCCCGGGCUCAACCCGGGAACUGCGUCCGAUACUGGAAGGCUUGAAUCCGGGAGAGGGAUGUGGAAUUCCAGGUGUAGCGGUGAAAUGCGUAGAUAUCUGGAGGAACACCGGUGGCGAAGGCGACAUCCUGGACCGGUAUUGACGCUGAGGCGCGAAAGCCAGGGGAGCAAACGGG